UUAGUGGCGGACGGGUGAGUAACGCGUGGAUAACCUGCCGUAUACCGGGGGAUAACACUUAGAAAUAGGUGCUAAUACCGCAUAAGCACACGGCUCCGCAUGGGGCAGUGUGAAAAACUCCGGUGGUAUACGAUGGAUCCGCGUCUGAUUAGCUAGUUGGCGGGGUAACGGCCCACCAAGGCAGCGAUCAGUAGCCGGCCUGAGAGGGUGGACGGCCACAUUGGGACUGAGACACGGCCCAAACUCCUACGGGAGGCAGCAG
rnacentral:rRNA from 1 species